ACUCCUACGGGAGGCAGCAGUGGGGAAUAUUGGACAAUGGGGGGAACCCUGAUCCAGCCAUGCCGCGUGUGUGAAGAAGGCCUUUUGGUUGUAAAGCACUUUAAGCGAGGAGGAGGCUUACCUGUUAAUNCCUGGGAAUAAGUGGACGUUACUCGCAGAUAAGACACCGCGUAACUCUGUGCCAGCAGCCGCGGUAAUACAGAGGGUGCAAGCGUUAAUCGGAUUUACUGGGCGUAAAGCGCGCGUAGGUGGCUAAUUAAGUCAAAUGUGAAAUCCCCGAGCUUAACUUGGGAAUUGCAUUCGAUACUGGUUAGCUAGAGUAUGGGAGAGGAUGGUAGAAUUCCAGGUGUAGCGGUGAAAUGCGUAGAGAUCUGGAGGAAUACCGAUGGCGAAGGCAGCCAUCUGGCCUAAUACUGACACUGAGGUGCGAAAGCAUGGGGAGCAAACAGGAUUAGAUACCCUGGUAGCUACGAGU
rnacentral:rRNA from 1 species